rnacentral:rRNA from 1 species
AACGAACGCUGGCGGCAUGCCUAACACGUGCAAGUCGAACGAGACCUUCGGGUCUAGUGGCGCACGGGUGCGUAACGCGUGGGAAUCUGCCCUCUGGUACGGAAUAACUCAGGGAAACUUGAGCUAAUACCGUAUAAUGAUUUCGGUCCAAAGAUUUAUCGCCUGAGGAUGAGCCCGCGUCGGAUUAGCUAGUUGGUGCGGUAAAGGCUCACCAAGGGGACGAUCCGUAGCGGUUCUGAGAGGAUGGUCAGCCACACUGGGACUGAGACACGGCCCAGACUCCUACGGGAGGCAGCAGUGGGGAAUAUUGGACAAUGGGCGAAAGCCUGAUCCAGCAAUGCCGCGUGAGUGAUGAAGGCCUUAGGGUUGUAAAGCUCUUUUACCCGGGAUGAUAAUGACAGUACCGGGAAAAUAAGCCCCGGCUAACUCCGUGCCAGCAGCCGCCGUAA